UGUAAUUAGACGUUAAACGAU
rnacentral:piRNA from 1 species